GCCGUAGUGCAGCGAUGGGACAUCUGCUUUGCCUGCAGGAGGUCCCAGGUUCAAACCCUGGCAUCUCCA